AGUGAACGCUGGCGGUAGGCCUAACACAUGCAAGUCGAACGGCAGCACAGUAAGAGCUUGCUCUUACGGGUGGCGAGUGGCGGACGGGUGAGGAAUACAUCGGAAUCUACUUUUUCGUGGGGGAUAACGUAGGGAAACUUACGCUAAUACCGCAUACGACCUACGGGUGAAAGCAGGGGAUCUUCGGACCUUGCGCGAUUGAAUGAGCCGAUGUCGGAUUAGCUAGUUGGCGGGGUAAAGGCCCACCAAGGCGACGAUCCGUAGCUGGUCUGAGAGGAUGAUCAGCCACACUGGAACUGAGACACGGUCCAGACUCCUACGGGAGGCAGCAGUGGGGAAUAUUGGACAAUGGGCGCAAGCAUGAUCCAGCCAGACCGCGUGGGUGAAGAAGGCCUUCGGGUUGUAAAGCCCUUUUGUUGGGAAAGAAAAGCAGCAGGUUAAGACCCCGCUGUUCUGACGGUACCCAAAGAAUAAGCACCGGCUAACUUCGUG
rnacentral:rRNA from 1 species